UACGUAGGGUCCGAGCGUUGUCCGGAAUUACUGGGCGUAAAGAGCUCGUAGGUGGUUUGUCGCGUUGUUCGUGAAAACUCACAGCUCAACUGUGGGCGUGCGGGCGAUACGGGCAGACUUGAGUACUGCAGGGGAGACUGGAAUUCCUGGUGUAGCGGUGAAAAUGCGCAGAUAUCAGGAGGAACACCGGUGGCGAAGGCGGGUCUCUGGGCCGAUAUCGACGCUGAGACGCGAAAGCGUGGGGAGCGAACAGG
rnacentral:rRNA from 1 species